GUGUCGACAGCCAGCCGCUGCUGGAGGGGGAGGCACUGUGCUUUAUUCAAAGAGCCACCUGGAGUUCUGAGGGAAACGGGUGCUAACUAGGCAAAUGCAUUUCCUGAAGAAAAUGCAUGUGGAUGCUGAUUGCUGAAGAAUUGCCCUGAAAAUGCUGAAAUUGCUGAAACAGCUGAAGGCUAUGAUGCAAUGCUGAAUAAUUAUGGAAGAUGAAACGGAAAACUGAAGUUGGGAAUUUAACUUCAUUAUCUGAAGAAGAUGCGACAGGCACCGGAGACUUGACGGCCACAACUCUGAGCAGCUGUAUCGGCAAUGGAGGUGGAGAACAUGGUCCAUUCAGACUUAAUGCCUCCAGUCUCUCUCAGGAUCUGGUCAAAGCUCUGCCAGAGCCACAGAACGGAAAGGUCCCACAGCAGGGCUGAAGCCAUGGUCUCCAAAGAACUUUCUCCCAAGUCAUCUGGUUUUGAAUGCUGUGUGCAUCUGCAUUGGUUGUCGCUGUAGAGGCCAUGGUGACCUUUGCCUACAAAGGCAGGUGUUUCGAAGAGGGGUGUGUGGAUAUGGGCCAAAGAGAAGAAC